GGGCUGUGGACUGGGGUGGUGGCGAGGAGGGACUACCAGGGAAGGUUACAGAGCAGCCCAGGGUGAACAGACCUGGUCUGGGAAGGGAUUCAAAGGACACCCUGGAAGGGUCACUCUCACAGCUGGUGGUGCUGGGUUGAAACAGCCAGCCCAGUAGUCCUGUGCUGCUGGACUGUGGAAAGGAGGUGGGGCCGAGGCUGAGCGUUGCCUACAGGUUCUCUUGCCUGCUCUUCCCUUCCAGAGAGCCUAGCAGAGUGGAUGGGACAGUCGUGGGCAGCAGCUCGGAAACAGACUUUCAAGCUACCAGCAGGGAGAAAGAACCUGUGACAUAGGCCUUCCCUUCUUCAGGCAGCUCGGCUUUGGGGACUGCAACCCAUCAGCUCUGACAGCUCAGUCCUUGCUGGUUCACCUCCCAUCCCAGGAGGAUGCUGUGUGGCUGGAGGCAGCAGCAGGAGGGAAAGCAGGAGAAGCAGUCAUGGAGAAGGUGGCAGAAGACAGUUCCCUAGACAGCAGGAUCCCAGCGCCGUUCCACUUCAGUGGAGGGAGAGAAAGGAUGAGAGACGCAGCGGCUGAGGGAACCACGGUUGAGGGAGGAGGAACCCACUGACAGGAGCUGGCUCAGGGGUGUUCACUGGCAGAUCUGUGGGAGCUGCUCAAGUAGGGCAGGAGUCCAUCUUCACAGGGAUUUGGCUCUUGCCCUGAAGGGAGCCUCACAGAUUCCAGACGGCUGCACAAGUCAAAGCAUCACGCCUCUACAGUGUCCCAGAGCCAGGAGAGAGGCUGUUGUUUUUAAAGGCAAGAAGAAUUCCCCAAACUUGGCCAGAAUCGGAGACAAGAUGGAGGGAGAACCACUUUCCAGGCCGGCCACCGACAUGCCCGCGUACAGACACACUUCCUGUGAAACCACGGAUGCAGAUGCUCCAAGCGUAAGCAGCCAGCGUCUUGGAGGUUUCACCAGCCCUCCUUCCUGAUCUUGUUAAUAAAAUCCAAGGUUCCCUUUGCAGUGAAGAAGGGAACACCAAUACUGUAUAGACGGCUUUCUUGCUGUGGGUUUCAUAAACCACAUCUUUCUCAAAUCCUGUCAGUGACUUCCCCAGCCUGGCAGGCUGGCUGACUAAAUUCCCCCUGUGCACUCCGAGGUUGGGUCUCACGGCCCUGGGGUGAGAGUCAGCCUGCCUGCUCUGACACUUAGCACUAGGCCGUGGCACUUCAUGAGAUAGCGGUAAUCUGCACUUGUAGAUCUUGUAGCAUGGCUAAGGGAGUACAGGAGACUCAGCCGCACCGGGUGUGAAUGAAAUCACAGUAACAUUAGCUCUCCGUGCUGAGCAGCUCUGUCCUUGGCUGGUCAUUCAGGAAUCCUGAUGCAGUCUUUGAAGUUUCUCCAGUGACUUCUGGACUGCCUACACGGUUGCCUCUCAUGUACGCUCAGGCGCAAGGCCUUUGGAGUUUGCUCCAGCCUCUUGGCCACUGCCUAGCGGACUGCGGGUACCCUUGUGUGUCUGUGUCGGUUCCACAAUAUAUAACUGAGUUGUGUAGGAGAAACUGUGCCCUGUCAGGUAUGAAACCCACAGAGACCCGCAGGCAGAGUGAGGUGCUAGGCCUGUCUGCACACUGGGUGGCAAUUAGCCUGCAGCCCUGAGAGAGCGGGAGGAUCCCAAAGCCAGACACCAAGUGGCUCCAGCAGAUGCUUGUUCUCAACUCACUCUGCCACCGUGUGGCUCAAACCAACAAAGCGGGUGGCCGAUGUCCUUGUGUCAACGUUUCUUAUUAGUCUCCAACCACCUCUGCAAAGACAGAACACUGCAGCUGGGGACAUGGCUCGGUUGGGUUGGUAAAGCAGCCGUUGCACAAGAAGGGGACACUAGGCCAGAUCCGUAGCACUCAUAGAAGAAGCUAGAUGUAGAGGCUCAGUGGCUGAGAGCAUUUGCUCUUCUAUAGGGUUCAGGUCCUAGUCUCAGACACCAAACGGCACCUAACGACUGUGAUCCUAGUUCCAGGGGUAAUCUGACACCCUCUUCUGGCCUCCGCAGGCACCAAGUGCACAGUCGUACAUGCAGGCAAGCCCUCCCCCCCCCCCCCACACAGAGUAAGUAAACAGACAGACAGAGCACCAGAAGGAGGUGGGAACAGGGUCUGUAGUCUGGGCUCCGGGAAAGCAGAGACAGAAGGAUGCCUGGAGCUCCCUGGCCAGUCAGCAGAGCUAAUCAGCAAGCUCUAGGCUUAGUGAGAGACUUUUGACUGAAAGCCUCAAGUGGAGAGUGACUGGGAAAGACACUACAAAUUGAUGUCUGACCUCCACGUGCACCCACAUGCUCACACAUGUGCACUUGCACACACAUUCCUACCCCCACACAAUACAUUUUUUUUUUUUGGUUCUUUUUUUCGGAGCUGGGGACCGAACCCAGGGCCUUGCGCUUCCUAGGUAAGCGCUCUACCACUGAGCUAAAUCCCCAGCCCCCACACAAUACAUUUUUAAAGACACACAAACCCUCCUCUGUUUUACUUUCCCCCCUGAGAAGAGGAGUUCUUACACGUAGUAGAUCAAUUCACUCGGCACACGUAGCAGCUGAAUGGUAAAAGCACAAACUCUGUAGGUUAAGAUGAAACGGAGUCUGCAAAAUACCGGGGUGACUUUAAACAGCACCCUCUGUCAGACGGGAUAGUCACGGGGCUUCAUAGGGAGGAUUAAAGGGACGGAAACAGUGAACAGCCCAUAAAGUAUCGACUACUGUUAUUAUCGUGUCUGCAGAAUACAAGUUUCGCAAGCGGCUUUAGGCAGAUUCUUCAGAAUUCCCUCUGCAAGUCUCACACGCAAGAACUUAGCGUGCUGGGAGAAAACACAUUCUUCCUGUCAGUAUUCGACAAAAUAAUCUGUUUUCAAGGGUAAGAUAGAAAAUUCAAGGGCCUGUGAGCUUCCUGAAUACAUUAAUGAUUAUUUCCUCGGAACGUUCUGUGACAGGACACAGCCAAGCACUAAGCUCAGAACUGUGAGGGAAUUAAAAAAGAAAAUAUUAAGAGAGGCCCCCUGCUACUGGAGUACUCACAAUCAAAAUAAAGGAGAGAAAUAUAUGCGGAUAUGGUCAUUAAGAGUAUGUGUCUGUAACAGAAUUCCACAUUUGAAAGAUGAUACAGGUUAAAUGCUCCAGAGUCCCGAUGGAGGAGAAUGGGGUUAGGGUCAUCUAUAAAAGUCUCUCGGUCUUGCAAAUUUAAACUUGGCCUCUAAAUGGGUGUAAGUUCUGGCCCUACCUUGACGUUUCCUAUGAUUUAAAAACGGAGCCAAGAUGCUUCGUGCAAAAUGAUACUCCAAACGAACGACGCAGGAUCGAGAGGCUAAGAAAACAACGGCCGUGAAGGGGGAAGGGGUCCCUCAUUCAGGAAUUCUGUCAAGUCUCUUGUCAAAAGAGAAGCAAGAAUUCUGGUGUAAUUAACAACUGCUGAAGGCCCUUUCACCCUUCCCAGAUAUUAAAUUACAAUUUUCAGCGACUCACACCAGAUCCUCACCCCCAUGCAACCCCUAGUGACUCCAAUUCCACCCAAAGUUUCUCUGGGGCCAGCACACUCAUUUCACUUACCAAGAUAGCAAGAAAGCCGGGAAGGGGAUGUCGCCUAGCAACCUUUUAAGAUGCAACUCGGAUGCUACCAGAAUAGUAUACAAGGCUAACGCUAAGGCUAAUUGCAACUCUCCCUUGGGUCCAUUCCCACACUGGGAUAAUGCAUUCUCCCUGAGCGCCUCUCUUUCUCCUAAUCCUCACACUAGAUGCCCCCAUUAAAAUGAUUGUUAUCUCCCAAGUUAUACUGGCUAUUCCUCACUGCUGUUUUCAUAGUGCCACAGGCAGGAGAAUACCUGCUGCUGCUGACGGUCGCCCCAGCGGCUCUCGAGCGCCCCCUGCCGCCUGCACCCGCUCUCGCCCCGUCUUAAAAGCCUCGGUCGAUUUUCUGGGAGUCUCCCUAGACUUCACGAAGGAACCAAGCCAAAUGACGCCUCUCCACCCCAGAUAAAAUUUGCAGCACAAUUAAUAAUGAGCCUCGGUUUCCUCAUCGGUCCCUGAAAAUCUUCGAACAUUCUCCACUUCCCCAGCCUUAAGCCGGGGACCGCCGAAGUGCUCCACAGACCAAGCAUCUCACCCCGACCCUCUGCUGCCCCUGGUGGCUGCCACCAUCUUACCCUUUUUCUUCACUCAGGCUGAGGUGAGACGACCCACUCUCGGCAACGGUAGCUUUAGAACUACAUUUCCCAUUGAGCGUUUCUUAACAUCGCGAGAGUUCUAGCGAGACUUGGGGGGGGGGGAAGACUGCGCGCAAGCGCAAUCUCGUUCUUUCCGAGGUCCUCUGCCGCGUGCACUAAAGUUAUGGCCGGUCCUGUCCGUGGUUCACUCUCUGAAAGGCCUAGGGUUUGGGUGAUGGCACGCCAUUGCACAUGGGACGCAAGCCGCAGGUUCCAUUUCAGAAGUAAUGGCUGGAUCCCUGGAAGCAGAUGGACUCGGUGUGGUUAGAGGGCAGAGGUAGAUGAUGCUGCGUAUUGAGCCCUCCUCAGCCCACUUUGAUUGAGGUGUUGCGCGGUGAGGAAGGGCCUUCGUGACCAGUCUGCAUGGGGGAGGCUGAACCAUAGUUUCUGGGCCUUCAAGGGGUGUUGCUGCAGCCACGGGGGCAGCCCUCCUGCGCCUGGACUUCUGCCUGCGAGCAGAGGAGCUUCCACACACAGCUCGUCAGAGCAUCCGUGCUUCUGCGCUAAGUGG